rnacentral:rRNA from 1 species
GACGAACGCUGGCGGCGUGCUUAACACAUGCAAGUCGAACGGUAAGGCCCUUCGGGGUACACGAGUGGCGAACGGGUGAGUAACACGUGGGUGAUCUGCCCUGCACCUCGGGAUAAGCCUGGGAAACUGGGUCUGAUACCGGAUAGGACUCCGGACUGCAUGGUCUGGGGUGGAAAGCUUUUGCGGUGUGGGAUGGGCCCGCGGCCUAUCAGCUUGUUGGUGGGGUGAUGGCCUACCAAGGCGACGACGGGUAGCCGGCCUGUGAGGGUGACCGGCCACACUGGGACUGAGAUACGACCCAGACUCCUACGGGAGGCAGCAGUGGGGAAUAUUGCACAAUGGGCGCAGGCCUGAUGCAGCGACGCCGCGUGAGGGAUGACGGCCUUCGGGUUGUAAACCUCUUUCAGCAUCGACGAAGCGAAAGUGACGGUAGGUGCAGAAGAAGGACCGGCCAACUACGUGCCAGCCGCCGCCGUAA